CCACAAAGCAGCUUCCGGAUCCUUGUUCGCGCCGGAGCGGAGACAAAGGCCUGUUUCUCGGAGUGCGUCGGUCGGUCCGAGUUUAGAAAGUCUGUAUCAUCAAGAAAAAACUGCAGGUGGCUGGAGGAUGCCGAUCAGCUGCCAGUCUGGAUAGUAGCCAUCAACUCAGCAAAGGCCUGCAGUCGAAUCAGCCCCACCUGUUUCUCUGCUGCCAUUCAAGACGGGAUGCUUUGUGAAAGGUGAAACGGGGCCCAUGCACCGCUUCCGCAGGGCCCUGCUGGUAUUUAUCUGACAUUUUGUUUUCCUAAACAAAUAACACCAUUACAAACUGUAAUAUACCGAACAAUUGCCCACUCUAAAUUGGCGAUGACCAUGGAGAGCUAAGGGAUAGGGUAGGUAAUAAAGCAAAGGUGUACAUGGUCGGGUGGUCCCUUGGUCUGACCCCGGAAUUACAAACAGCUGCCAUUUGCAAAGCUAGUUGACUGUGCAAACACGUAAAAACAAACCGUCUGUUGUUUUUUUUCUUUUUUUGAUUACAAAUUAACACCCUAAAGAAUGGUUGCUUACGCAUUUGCUUGUUCUUGUUAUAAAGCCUUAAAUUUAUUCUUCCGAGUUAGAACAAAAAAGCAACCCAUCUUUUUUUGGGCACAACUUUCUUUGGCAAUGAAGAGAAAGCUAGGGAGGGGGGAGGCAGGCAGUGCUAAUGGCUCUGUGUUAGUGCACCAAAUAGUUUUUUUUUUUUUUUUUUUUUGGUUUUGGUUUUAGUUAGAGUUUGGCGUGUCAACCACGCAGUUCCUUCAGUGCAUGUUUUUGUACGAGGAUUGCGGUUGAGGGACCUGAACCGCGGUCGCCGAGCAUGCAGGCAUAUUCAGAUCUAUUUCUGAAGGCUAACCCGUUUUUAAACGUAAGCCAACACUUUGACUGAAACACUCGGACAGACUUGCAGGGUAGAUUUCACCGGGGUCAAUCUACUAGAAUUUGUCUCUCAGCUGACGAAGAUAGGCAGUGUCGAAUCAGGAAAAGCUGCGAACUUCAUGAUAGUAGAUAAGCGCCGGAAAAAUACCUAGACAAAAAUUUGACGUGAACACUGGCGUACCGGCAACUAACAUUUAUUAAAAACAAAAUUUCUUAUAUAGCUGUGAAAAACGUCAGUCAUGACUACAACUGGUGCAACCCUCUAUCAAAUUCAUUCUUUUGCCGAUAAGGUUAUGGAUCUGUCACUUGUACACCUGGUGCAUUUGGCUUUAAUCUUAAACGCCUGGUGUAGCUCUCUAGAUUCUUUAUCGGGGUAUCUGGCCAAAAAUUUGGUGUCCUUAAACGACUGGGAGCAAAAGCAGCGUCUGCAGUGUGUGGCCAGAUUUCGUGAUGGAAGUCGCUUGUGUGGCCACCUCGUGUUCGUGGGCGCGAUCAUUAAUACAUAGGCCUGUCUGACCUGUGUACACAGAACCAUAUGACAUUGGGAUUUCGUACACAACUUUGGUCGUGCAUUCUGUGAAUUUUUUGCAGUGUUUAGUUUUGCAUUUGUCUUUUCCAAGGGCCGCUGCUGCAGCGACCACACACAUCAGCUGCUGUCCUUGUUUCCCAUCAUUUAAUGACACCAAAUUUUUGGCCAGAUACUCAGAUAAAAUGUCUAGAAAGCUACACGAGGUGUUUGAGAUUAUAGCCGAAGGCACGAAUUGUACAAGUGACACAUUCAUAACCUUAUCAGCAAAAGAAUAUGAAUUUCUUGAUAGAGGUCUACAUUGGUUGUAAUCAUGAUUGACAUUUUUCACAGCAAUGUAACAGAUUGAUUUUUUUUUUCAAUAAUGUUAGUUGCGAGUGUGCCAGUGGCAACUUCUUGACCCUGUCUAUUUUUUUGGCGCUAGUCAAUGAUCAUGAACCACCUGACCCAAAUUGCCACAUGAACAAGUUUCAUGAGUGCUGCCGCGUUUUGAGGUCAGUUAUCUGUAAACUCUUCUGGUGCUGAAAAACUAUUGUGCGGGAGGAAUAUACAGAAAUAGAAGCAUGCACACUCCACGACGCAGUCGCAUUCCAUUUGGAUCGCAUUCAGUUAUGGCUGGCCCUAGGGGGUCGCUGGCACACCACAGCUCAGAAUAUGUGUAGCGAGGAUUGCGCUGCAGAACCCAGGGGUCCUGAGCUCGGUCCCCACCCCUGCUCACACACACCAGUGAGCUUGCUUGCCAACCGGCAUACGGAAAUAACUAGGAGUCCCGGUUCCCACUGUCCCAUUUGUCAUACACGUUGCACACCACUUGCUUGGUUUGUUUUAAGAUUUCUUGGUUGCCAAACUUCGUAAAAAUCUUACAUGUCAAACAAAGAGGCGAGCUCACAGAGUGUACCUACAAUACACCACACUGAUGAUGCCCAAAGAUGCCAUUCUAAUUUUGCAGGGAGCUAGAAAACCAAGGGUGAAUUUAAACCAAGAAAACACAAAAUAGCUAAAUAGGAAAUGCUCAAGGUUUGGCACAUCCUGGCUAAUGUUAUGCUAACAUUCUGAAGUCAAAGCUAAACAGAACAAUUUUACAUAUAUUUUAAUUGGUUACGUUCCACCCAGCAAAUUAUUAUAGUUGAACUAUAUUCAGCUAUGCAGUGAAAUGGUGUCCUUUGGCUCUCUAGCUUUAGCUCCAUUGCCACAGAAUGUUGUCCCGAAGUAUAUCACUUUCUAGCUCUUUUCGACUGCACCCCUCCUAUUCCUCUCCUGCUUUGCUGUUCUACUCGUUCUAUCCCCAUUCUGUCUGCCAGUCGUGGAGAUAAACGCCCAUGGGGACAGGGCGCUUGAUGUCUCUUUCAUAUAUUUUUUUAACUUGCUUAAAAUAGAGGAAUAGGCUUUAAUAUGUCCUUAGAUGAGGUGAUAUGUUUCAAAAGUAGGGGUUAGAGCGCUUACUCUGCCACGGGUGCAUGCUCUGUGUUUUUUGGUAGUUUUAUAGUGUUGUGUGUUACUAGAAUAAGUUGGGCUUUAGUAUAGUUACAGCAUAUGUGUACAGUAAUUCACGCAGUUGUUAAUGAUCAUUAGUACCUAACUCAACCCUGUGCAGGGUGUCUAUGAGCUGAAAAAUUGGUAUUGUUGAGGAAUUCGGCAAUUGGAAAAGUCUCAAGAUUUUCAGCCUAAUCAGUAUCGAUCAGGGAAGUUCAGCCUUCCUUUCUCUGAAUGUAAGCAAAAGAUUUGUGUGGUGUGGCACAUGCACCUUCCUCCUACUCAGCAACUCGGCCGGCCUGCCAACGUAAAUCUUUGCUGGAAACUAGAGUCUUGGUAGAAUCCAGAGAUGCAACUUCAUCUCGAGAUGUAUUUACAAGGAAAACUUCUAUACUCUCAAUGAACUGCUGCUGCUUAUGGCAGAUUUGUGGAAUGGCUUCAUAGUGCGAGAGCUUGUCUCUAUAGCUACUCUAGUUGCUCCUGAAUAAACUUCUAGGGGAUCUUUUCCGGGCUGUGAACAUCAUGGCAGUUGAGGUAGUUUCUGCUGGAAAAGGGAGGGGGGGGAGAGAGGGUAUCCCUCAGCUUGACAGUCCAUGGAAGCUUUGUCAGCCAGGAUUUUGAAUGUUGCGAGGACAAUGACGGCUGCAUUAGCUCAUAUUUUUUUUGCCAGAAGUUGUACGACCAACUGCCAGGAUUGCAACAUCCAACAGCAUGAAACAAACCAGUUGGAGGCGCAUUCCAGGCACCAUAACGUAGCCUCUGCUGCUGAGAUGUUCUUAUUGCAAGUAUAAUUUCCGAUUCUGUUUCUUUUGUUUUUCACUGGGAGCUCAUGGAGGUGGCACGGUGCAUGGAAGAACAGAGUGGCUGACAGUGAGCUGCCCAAGCAAGCUGCUGGCUCUUGUGACUGUCUCUGAAAGCCUCUGGAUGUGCUAAAUUGCAGACGUGCCUGGACAUUUAUAAAUGGUGCUGCUAUCCAGCUCUACGUCACAGCCAUGAAGUGGCCAUGGGGUGAACCAUGGACAACUGCUGUCUUAAGUACUCGAAUCGGCAGAGCCACCUACUAGCUGUGAAGCCCAGUUGCCAGGCAGCAGAUACUCGACCAGCAACCAGCCUUUGUCACUCUAGUGGGACACGAGAGCGACAAGCCUCCAACCCAUUCAGCAUGCCCGUGAUGGUACCUUUGGCAGGCGUUUAUUCGUUCGGUGCUCGUGAAAUAAGCAUGAGUGAUUCUAAGCCUGUCAAAGAUACCCUCGCGUGCAUGAUGCUUGUUUUUAAGCAUAGCCUCCUUUAUUCCACAAAGCCUCUCAAAUCGCGAAAGACUCAGGUUUGAGACUUGUCGUCAUUUGUUUCUGUUUGUCGCUGUAGUGGGACUCGGGGCAUAAGCUAGCACCAUGUACUGAACAUGAAAUAAAAAACCACUGUAUCAAACUUGA